rnacentral:rRNA from 1 species
GGACUACUGGGGUAUCUAAUCCUGUUUGCUACCCACGCUUUCGUGUCUCAGUGUCAGUUACGGUCCAGAGAGCCGUCUACACCACCGGUAUUCCUCCUGAUAUCUACGCAUUUCACCGCUACACCAGGAAUUCUACUCUCCCAUCCCGUACUCUAGCCCGCCAGUUUUCCGCGCACCCUCCCGGUUGAGCCGGGAGAUUUCACACGGAACUUAACAGGCCACCUACACACCCUUUACGCCCAGUAACUCCGAACAACGCUUGCUGCCUACGUAUUACCGCGGCUGCUGGCAC